GCCUUGUUAGCUUGGUUGGUAGAGCGUUUGCCUUCUAAGCGCUAGGCCGCGGGUUCGAUUCCCGCCCUGGGCG
rnacentral:tRNA from 1 species